rnacentral:tRNA from 1 species
GGGCGUGUGGCUCAGUUGGUAGAGCGUUCGCUUAGCAUACUUCGAAACGCUCAAAAGGUGUCAAAUCUGUAUGCGAAAGGUCCUGGGUUCGAUUCCCAGCUCGUCCA